AGUGAACGCUGGCGGUAGGCCUAACACAUGCAAGUCGAACGGCAGCACAGUAAGAGCUUGCUCUUACGGGUGGCGAGUGGCGGACGGGUGAGGAAUACAUCGGAAUCUACUUUUUCGUGGGGGAUAACGUAGGGAAACUUACGCUAAUACCGCAUACGACCUACGGGUGAAAGCAGGGGAUCUUCGGACCUUGCGCGAUUGAAUGAGCCGAUGUCGGAUUAGCUAGUUGGCGGGGUAAAGGCCCACCAAGGUGACGAUCCGUAGCUGGUCUGAGAGGAUGAUCAGCCACACUGGAACUGAGACACGGUCCAGACUCCUACGGGAGGCAGCAGUGGGGAAUAUUGGACAAUGGGCGCAAGCCUGAUCCAACCAUACCGCGUGGGUGAAGAAGGCCUUCGGGUUGUAAAGCCCUUUUGUUGGGAAAGAAAAGCAGCAGGUUAAUACCCCGCUGUUCUGACGGUACCCAAAGAAUAAGCACCGGCUAACUUCGUG
rnacentral:rRNA from 1 species